GAUGGGGCAAGAACCUCGGACCCUUUUCUGGGUCAGCGGGGCCCUCGGACUGACCCGGAACAGGUUUACGUCUUGUCUCCGUCGCUUCUUUUUUCCUUCGGCUUGCAAGUCCGAAUCAGAUUGACCUACAGCCGAUUGUCCAUCUUCCUUGGCACGCUAUCCGGUGCGAAACUGGUUUUCUUUCCCACAUAUCCGGGGGCCGUCGGUCACUCGGGGGGAGACAAGAGUGGGGUACCACUGACCAAGUUCCUGGACGCGAUUCUCGCCCUUGGUCAGUUUACGAUUUUAUCCCGCGUUCGACGGUUCCGCGUGCGUGAACCUUCGAAAUCGUUGUCCUCGCCGGUGGCGGUCUUUACGUCGAGAUAUUCGAGAAAGGGUGAAUCGAGGCUCAGAAUACAUGGACGCUUAAAGAGAUUAUCGGAUAACUCAAAGUUUUAUUAAAUGAGGGAUCGUCAGGUUUUCCAAGUUCUCUCCCCUUUCGAGGGAAGCCACUCGAGGGCGGAGUCCCGGGUUGAAGCGGCCAUACUGCCACCCCCGUCUUACCAGCCCUCUUCUAACCCCUCUGGCAAAAUAAGGGAUGAAAAACAGGAUGAGGGCAACUGCGCUCCUACGAACGUUCAAGCAAGCCGCCUUGCUUACGAAAGCUUCGCCGUGAAUUCACCCUCCACCGAGCUGAUAUUACCGCCCCAUCGGCCGUAAAUGUCAGAAUUUAGAAAAUCACUGGAGCGAGUUGCAGACAAAGCCACUGAGGACGAGGACCUGGGCUGCAGGUUAGGACGGGCGUGCGAGGCGGGGGUGGGAAGUCGCUUGAAAAUGGAAGAGGACGGCGAGGUGGAUGCUUCGAUGUAGGGAGAGAGUGGAUACCACCCACAACUUUGGGAUCCGUCGUCGAUUCUCGCGGAAGGACCUCAAAGUGACUCCUCCUCGUAGCUGCAGGCUCCUUUUCAUCGCCGACCCCUGUUAGAGCUGUAUGCACAAUGUAAACCGAAGACACGGCCUUAACGGAAGAUAAAAUACAUCUACUCGGUCUUGUUGACGGGCUACCGACGAUUCACAAUUCGUUUGCGUUCAUCUCGGAUUGAAUUUUGAAAUUGUACGAUGGAUACCGUGCAUAUGAAAUGAUAACGAGGGAUUAAAAAAGAUUUUCUGACUCGAUGCUUCUUUAUAUUAAUCUGAGUUGUAUUGAUCUAGUCUCAAAUUCGAAACGUGUAGAAAAAAAUAAAAAAAUUGUGUUUAUGUAAAUUGUAAAAUCGUAUUUCUGAAUGUUAAAAUAAAAGUAGAAUUUUUUCACAUCUUUCAGAGCACUUUGAAAAACACAACUAUUUAUCAGUGACUCGGGUAGUCUGACUCAGCAGUGUAAAACAGUCUGCGGAGGAUUAAAAUAACAUGAAUCUAAAUAACGUAAAAUGCAAAAUUUUUUACCUCUAUAUAUAUAUAUAUAUACAAGUUUUCAAUUUUGAAGAACAUGCGAAAAAUUAAAUGAAUUAAUAUUACUUGAUAGGAUAAACUCUUUGGUUACAUUUUCUGAAAAUGCAAAUAAGAUAGAAGAAAGAGAUACUUAUUAAUCGAGUCAAGAACGUAAACAGUUUAUAAUAUCCGUUAAAAAAAAAAUUUUUUUGUGAAAAAGAUCGUUGAAAGAAAUUUUCUAAACAGAUCCUUCACGUCGCUGAUCUAUUCCUCAGACAUCGCGGUUGCUAUUACUGCACGGAUCGAGCGCGGCGGUGAAGCUGGACAAAGUUUGCGGCGUGCUGAAACUCACGUACGAAUAUUACGUAACUUCGGGGGUGACUAGUUCCGACGACAAUUAGGGCAAAAUUGUAAUUUACGUAUGGACCGCACUUGCCGCGGAUGAAAAAGACACCGAACUCGGAAUGUUCUCAGAAAAUCGCGCUUGUUUCCCCUCGAAUUUCGCUAAUACGCUGGGAAAUUCCUGCCGCUGGCAUUUCUCUGGAAAUUCUCCGGGACUGUUAACGCGGAGUUGCGCGCGGAGACGCGGCGAAAGACACGAGAUCUCGCGAGAAUACCGUGCUUCCGGUGUUCCAAGGCGCCCGUGGAACAUAUCGUUACGACGAGGGGUUCGGGCCCCGCUUCUUGAAACUGCCGGGGCGCCCCUUUCCCAGAGAACAAGAUGCCUUAAAUAAAUGAAACUUCUAGUGCGUCGCGCAAGAACAGGCGGCACCGGCAUAUAAAUUCUCUCGCACUGUAAUUUCAAACUCAAACAGCAGCGCGGGGUCGACUCACCCCAUUUGCGUUUCGCCAUCUCGCUCGCGCCUCCGCGUCCGCGUAUUUUGCCGGUUACGGGUGGUUAGGACGUCGGAGGACGUCGGGAAAGGGGUGUCGAAGGAUGGCUGAGAUUUCGGCGCGUCUACAUCGGUGUUUGCGAGUGUGUGCCCCGCGUAUAUGCGCGCGUGUGUGUGCACGUUCGUCCUUGAUGACAGAGAGCGCGGCGACGAUAAUGGUCCCGAGAAAAGGUCGCGACGUGCGUCGACUGGAUAUCGAUGGGAUUUCGAAGGUACACGCGUAUAUCGCGAUUUAGCCGAUUUGACCGACCGUUGAGUAUCGCGACGAGGGUGGAGAAAGGAGAGAGGAGGAUUAUGAUCUAAGACGUGCAGAAUUGCGAGAUAUAUCGGGUUAUUGGUGGGCCCACGAGAUUUGGCGAACAACCGAAAAGUGCUUCCGUAGCACGUUUGAGAAUGAUGUGAAGACCGGACGUGUUCGAUCGUAAAAUUUCUCGCACCCUCUUCGAAAUUCAACGCGGUAGCCCGAGAUGCACGUUUCGGGAGGUGAGAGGGCGGGCUAUGGAGUAAAAGGGUGAGGGGAGAGAGAAAGAGAGACGGAAAGAGAGUCACCUCACCGCGUGCUCUUUCCGCAGCGGCAUAAAUUCGUGAAGGCCUCCGGCUUGGGCGCGCGAGAGCACCACUUCGCUCGCCCGCCCCGUUCCUUGCAGUAAUUUCGAGCAGCCCCGCCUAAUCUCGUCCUAAAAUCUAAUUCCGCCAACAAUUUCUAAGCCGGUCCAUUAAAAUUCUAAGCACAGUGCCGUAGGAGGCGGCGGUCGGGCGCUCUCUUGCGCGCGGGACCAGGGGCAGGGGGAGAGGACGACGAGGAGGAAGUAAACUCGGGAUGGAGUGGUACCGCCAACGGUGCGAUGGACGGGGGGAGAGGCGGAGGCGGGAGGAGGGUAGAUGGGUUGCGCGCCCGGGGUGGUUGCCGGGGGGGUUGGGCGGGGUGGUUGGGGUGGCUGAAACAAUAAGAACGUU